rnacentral:rRNA from 1 species
CCUACGGGGGGCAGCAGUGAGGAAUAUUGGUCAAUGGACGAGAGUCUGAACCAGCCAAGUAGCGUGAAGGAUGACUGCCCUAUGGGUUGUAAACUUCUUUUAUAAAGGAAUAAAACGAGGCACGUGUGCCUUUUUGCAUGUACUUUAUGAAUAAGGAUCGGCUAACUCCGUGCCAGCAGCCGCGGUAAUACGGAGGAUCCGAGCGUUAUCCGGAUUUAUUGGGUGUAAAGGGAGCGUAGAUGGGUUGUUAAGUCAGUUGUGAAAGUUUGCGGCUCAACCGUAAAAUUGCAAUUGAUACUGGCAGUCUUGAGUACAGUUGAGGUAGGCGGAAUUCGUGGUGUAGCGGUGAAAUGCGUAGAUAUCACGAAGAACCCCGAUUGCGAAGGCAGCUUACUAAACUGUGACUGACAUUGAUGCUCGAAAGUGUGGGUAGCAAACAGGAUUAGAUACCCCAGUAGUC